rnacentral:rRNA from 1 species
AUGCAGUAUAUCCACUUUCUUCUGUUUAUUUUAAGUAUUAUUGUGGGUCUGCAGUAUGAAUCACUACACGCUGGAGAAGUUCCUAGAGGCGAUCAGGAGCAGAGGCAUCAAGAUAUGCCCUGGGUGCAAUGCCUCGCAGGCUGUAGCACCUGCCCAGUUAUGCAUAUGUCGGCAAGACAAGUUUUGCCUGCUUUGCUUCAUAUCAGUCUCUUCUCAUCGCGGCCAGAGCUUGGAAGCAAUUCAACUAGGCACCAUGAUGCUGGAUGGAAGUACAACUUCUUGUCGGAAGGUUCUUAUAUAUGGUCUCUAGAAACACUCGCACACAGACUCUCUGCUCUUGUUUGCCCGCCGCCGCCGCUCCAUGCCUUCGCCGCCGCCCUCGCACAUCAAAGCCGCCGCCCUCCAUCGGACGAUCCACUUCAGGAGACGCCGCCGACCCCGUUGAGGACCAGCCGUCGAUCACGUCCAGGAUCCAACGCCGAUCCCCUUCAGGAGCCGCACGCCACCGCAGAUCCAUCCCCUGAAAAAUCGGGACUCUUGAGAUGGGCGAUCGAGAGGGAUCAAAAGGAGUAA